AGUGAACGCUGGCGGUAGGCCUAACACAUGCAAGUCGAACGGCAGCACAGUAAGAGCUUGCUCUUACGGGUGGCGAGUGGCGGACGGGUGAGGAAUGCAUCGGAAUCUACUUUUUCGUGGGGGAUAACGUAGGGAAACUUACGCUAAUACCGCAUACGACCUACGGGUGAAAGCAGGGGAUCUUCGCACCUUGCGCGAUUGAAUGAGCCGAUGUCGGAUUAGCUAGUUGGCGGGGUAAAGGCCCACCAAGGCGACGAUCCGUAGCUGGUCUGAGAGGAUGAUCAGCCACACUGGAACUGAGACACGGUCCAGACUCCUACGGGAGGCAGCAGUGGGGAAUAUUGGACAAUGGGCGCAAGCCUGAUCCAGCCAUACCGCGUGGGUGAAGAAGGCCUUCGGGUUGUAAAGCCCUUUUGUUGGGAAAGAAAAGCAGCAGGUUAAUACCCCGCUGUUCUGACGGUACCCAAAGAAUAAGCACCGGCUAACUUCGUG
rnacentral:rRNA from 1 species